rnacentral:rRNA from 1 species
GACGAACGCUGGCGGCGCGCUUAACACAUGCAAGUCGAACGGAAAGGCCUGCUUUCCCUUGUGGAUUGCGGGUACUCGAGUGGCGAACGGGUGAGUAACACGUGAGUGAUCUGCCCCCAACUUGGGUAUAAGCCUGGGAAACUGGGUCUAAUUUCCGAUAGGACUGCAGGGUGGUGCCGGCGGUGGGAAACGAUUUUCUAGUGGUUGGGGAUGAGCUGGCGGCCUAGCAGGUGGUUGGGGGGGUCAUGGCCUACCAAGGCGGCGACGGGUAGCCGGCCUGAGAGGCUGGACCGCCAAAUUGGGACUGAGGUACGGCCCAGGAUCCUACGCAAGGCAGCAGUGGGGAAUAUUGCACGAGGGGCGGAAGCCUGACGCAGCGGCGCCGCGUGGGGGAUGACGGCCUUCGGGUUGUAAACUCCUUUCGAACGCGAGGAAGCCACCUGGUUGGAAGGGUGGUGACGGUAGUGGUAGAAGAAGCCCCGGCUAACUACGUG